GCAACACAACAGGCAUGUACAAACCACACACACACACCCACACAACACACACACACACACACACACACACACACCAACCACACACACACACAACAAACCAAUUUUUGACCAUUAGUCUCUCCUUCUCUCUCCCCAUCUCUCUCUCACUCUCUCUCUCACUCCCCCCUCUCUCCCUCUUUCUCUCUCAACCCUCUCUCUGUUCAGAUUCAGGGCAGGCUUUCAGCAGGUGUUCUGUUGGUGUCCGUGUGUUCCUGCCGCUUCCUACGAGGGACUGGAACUCAAGUCCACCCGCUACCUACAGACCCAGAUGAGUGUGUACCGGGCCAGCCGGAUGGAGACCAGUAUGUCAACAGUUCUGCAGCCCACUGAGGAGGAGCGCUGUGGGGCAGAGCAGCCAGCCAGCCCCCCUAUCACCCAGACAACCAUGGAGCUCACCUCCACCUCCAACGGCUCAGCCUCACGAUCAGCCCUCAACCCCCCCGACAGCCCUGCUUACUACGGCAGACAUAACAUGGACUAGUGGCCUAACAAACGCCUAACUGGAUUAGUCGUGGUUUCAUCUCACUUAACCCAGAACUAAAAUGUUACGUCAUUUGGUCAGCUGCUCGAUUAGGUUCUAGGGGGAAGUGUGUUAGAAAUGGAGAUUUAUGUUUUGUCUCCACUCUCACAAAAGGAAAAUCUCAGUCAAUCCCUCCCACCACCUUCUGAUAUUUUCACUGGUGGUUAUCAUCCGCCGAAUAAAGCAGUUUAAGCACCGCCUUCACCCAAUCCUGAUAUGUCCAAAUAAACAGUGAUGAAAACCCAAACCCCAGAACUAAUGCUGCUCGUAUCCCAUAUUAUGCCGACAGGUGUACUGUACCAGUUAUGUUUACUGUAGGUACUGUCCACGGGAGAUUAUACGUGGUUUAGUGCACUAUAGCCUGGGCUAGUGCUCUAUUCUCACACAUUCUAAUGCCGACACAACAUCGGCUAGGGCUGCCUCAAUUCGUUGGGGGAUGGACUCUACAAGGUGUCGAAACCAUUCCACAGGGAUGCUGGCCCAUGUUGACUCCAAUGCUUCCCACAGUUGUGUCAAGUUGUCUGGAUGUCCUUUGGGUGGUGGACUACUCUUGAUACACACGGGAAACUAUUGAGCGUGAAAAACUCAGCAGCGUUGCAGUUCUUGACACAAACUGAUGUGCCUGGCACCUACUGUACUACCAUACCUCGUUCAAAGGCACUUAAAUAUUUAGUCUUACCCAUUAACCUUCUGAAUGGCACACAUACACAAUCCAUGUCUCAAUGCUUAAAAAUCAGUAUUUAACCUGUCUCCUCCCCUUCAUCUCCACUGAUUGAAGUGGAUUUAAUAAGUGUCAUUAUUAAGGGAUCGUAGCUUUUGCCUGGAUUCAUCUUGUCAGUCUAUGUCUUUAAAAUAGCAGGUGUUCUAAAUGUUUUGUACAAUCAGUGUAUAUCAAACUGGGCUAGAGUCUAGCGCUUUUCUUUAGACAGACAUGGUUUUGGGGCCUUGAACCUAGUGUAGUGUUCUAUUCUCGUCUAAUAUAUCUGACCAGGCAGCUCAUAAGGAUUCUUUCCAUCAUUCCAGAACCCUAGGGCUGAUUAGGGCUGUGUUUGGAACACUCACCAAAUCGCUUCAGCUAGCAUCAAUGGCAGCCACAGCUCUCCCUAAGAAAACACUGAUGUUUUUGUGUGAGUGUUUUUGUGUGAGAGUCAGGCAGGGUGUGUGUUCAUUCAAC
rnacentral:lncRNA from 1 species